rnacentral:lncRNA from 1 species
UCCACCUUAGGUGCACAAAAGUUUUCCCAUGUUCGGGAUGUUCAUACUUAGUCGGGAAUCCAAACCAAAACAAUCUGGUUGGAUACAAUAACGUUCUAUCUUGUUCAACAAUAUUUUUAUGUCUAGCUGAAUCAAAUAGCUUAGACGACUUUUAAGUCAACGUAUACAUACUUGAAAUCAAUAAGUAUAUAUCAACAUAUGAUUAAAU